rnacentral:lncRNA from 1 species
CACCGAUAAAUUCAAAAUAGGAGAAUCUUCCAGGGCGUAAAGCCUAUAUAGUUUUAUUUUAUCACUUUCUCAUCCCAAUAGUACUGCAGCAGUAGCAGCACAACCAUUAAGUUCUUGAAUCUUUUCUACAAGGUCAAUGUUCAACCCUGAAAUUGCAAGGUAAAAAAUGAAAUUGAGUUUAACGAUUCUUUGAAAAUACAAAAUUAAAAAAAAAAAAAUACAUGAUUGGCUAUGCUUUACUUAAGUUACUUGUUCGUGAAACUUGAUUUUUAAACUUUUUUUUACAAACAAAUCUUGCUUUUCUCUAACUCACAUUUAUAAUUAUUAACUUUUAAGAACAAUCAAACACAUAAGCUUGUUGCUUACUGUCUCCAUGGCCCGAAUAAACAGAAAGGUCGUGGCUUUUCAAGACUACAACCAGCUCAUUAUUUGGGGGAAAAUAUUAUAGCUCCCUACACGGAAACUUCAACCCAAUUUGACAAAUCUUUGUUUUUUUUAAUCAAGUAUGAGAAAUAAAGAAUAAGAUUACAUUGCAACCAUUUCUGAAAUUUAACAUGUCCACUUCCAACGAAAUCAUUAUUCGGAUUUAUUACAUAAUAUAUGUUGCGAGGAUUUAUCAAUGGAAAUGGUACAAAAUUUGUUGAACACUACGCUUGGUCUUGGCAAUGAGUGUAAAUUGUUGCAAGAAUACUUCUAACGGAUAACAUGCAAUAAAUCUUUUUAUUUUUCAAUGUCAACAGAUUCUCCCAUGAAAAUAACUACAAAAAAUUAUCAAUCUUGCUUAAAUAAUCUUUAAUAAAAGCAUAAAACUAUUUAUAAUCAACAUGAUACGAAUUAAUCAAAAAAAUAAUCAAUUAUAUUUACAUAAAUUACUAUAAUAAAAAGAAAAGC